AUGGAAACUGCAGAUUACAAUAUAAAUCCUAAACUACUACAUCAAGGUUUAGAUCUUUCAAUUGUAGGCUCAGACCACGCCCCUUUUACCAUCACAGAGGCACCGAGACUCAAACACAAGCCCUCAUAACCCCAACACAUCAAGGUCGCUUCACUGGAAACCAAAAAAGGACUGCCUACCUUCAACAGAUUACUCACACAAAGGAGAAUCACACAAGAACACAAUUAUCACAAAGAUAAUCAACCAGAACUCUCACACAGAGAAGAAGGAAGUGUCACAAAGACGAAGAACACGAAGGUUCCAGAAGGCAGAGAGAAAAAUCAGAGAACAGAAUGACGAUCCAGCUCCCAAACACGAGCUAAGGAUCCUAUUUAUAGAUAAUAUCAUCAACCGUUGAUCAGCGGGUCAAUCCAACGGUCCAAGAGCGACUAAGAUGUGUGGGCUGGGUAUUGGGCUCGGUUAAGUGGGCCUUCUAGGUAUCUAAUUAAUGGACCAAGUAUUGAAUCCAUAUUUG
rnacentral:lncRNA from 1 species